rnacentral:rRNA from 1 species
AGGUGAACAUGCGGAAGGAUC